rnacentral:rRNA from 1 species
GCCAGACUCCUACGGGAGGCAGCAGUGGGGGAUAUUGCACAAUGGGGGGAACCCUGAUGCAGCGACGCCGCGUGGGUGAAGGAGCGUUUCGGCGCGUAAAGCCCUAUCGGCAGGGAAGAAGGAGGACGGUACCUGACUAAGAAACCCCGGCUAACUACGUGCCAGCAGCCGCGGUAAUACGUAGGGGGCAAGCGUUAUCCGGAUUUACUGGGUGUAAAGGGGGCGCAGACGGCAGCGCAAGCCAGGAGUGAAAGCCCGGGGCCCAACCCCGGGACUGCUCUUGGAACUGCGCGGCUGGAGUGCAGGAGGGGCAGGCGGAAUUCCUGGUGUAGCGGUGAAAUGCGUAGAUAUCAGGAGGAACACCGGUGGCGAAGGCGGCCUGCUGGACUGCGACUGACGUUGAGGCCCGAAAGCGUGGGGAGCAAACAGGAUUAGAUACCCCAGUAUU